rnacentral:rRNA from 1 species
GCGGAGGAAAAGAAACCAACAGGGAUUGCCCUAGUAACGGCGAGUGAAGCGGCAACAGCUCAAAUUUGAAAUCUGGCGCAAGCCCGAGUUGUAAUUUGUAGAGGAUGCUUCUAGGUAGCGACCGGUCUAAGUUCCUUGGAACAGGACGUCAUAGAGGGUGAGAAUCCCGUAUGUGACCGGCCCGCACCUUCUACGUAGCUCCUUCGACGAGUCGAGUUGUUUGGGAAUGCAGCUCUAAAUGGGAGGUAAAUUUCUUCUAAAGCUAAAUACCGGCCAGAGACCGAUAGCGCACAAGUAGAGUGAUCGAAAGAUGAAAAGCACUUUGGAAAGAGAGUUAAAAAGCACGUGAAAUUGUUGAAAGGGAAGCGCUCACAACCAGACUUCUGGGCGGUGUUCCGCCGGUCUUCUGACCGGUCUACUCGCCGUCCCGAGGCCAACAUCAUCUGGGACCGCUGGAUAAGACCUCAGGAAUGUAGCUUCCCUCGGGAAGUGUUAUAGCCUGUGGUGAUGCAGCGCGUCUCGGGUGAGGUCCGCGCUUCGGCAAGGAUGUUGGCGUAAUGGUUGUCAGCGGCCCGUCUUGAAACACGGACCAAGGAGUCUAACAUCUAUGCGAGUGUUCGGGUGUCAAACCCCUACGCGUAAUGAAAGUGAACGGAGGUGGGAAGCGCAAGCUGCACCAUCGACCGAUCCUGAUGUCCUCGGAUGGAUUUGAGUAAGAGCAUAGCUGUUGGGACCCGAAAGAUGGUGAACUAUGCCUGAAUAGGGUGAAGCCAGAGGAAACUCUGGUGGAGGCUCGCAGCGGUUCUGACGUGCAAAUCGAUCGUCAAAUUUGGGUAUAGGGGCGAAAGACUAAUCGAACCAU